UGGACAGAUUAUUGAUUCGACUGUAUUCAACUGUAUUCACGGCGUGAAAUAGGGAUUACACUAUAUUUAAAACGCAAAGUGAAUCAAUUAACAAAUACACUCCU
rfam:Nicotiana attenuata strain TT chromosome 1, whole genome shotgun sequence.